GCUCAAUGAUUUUUUAAAUUGCUGUAGUAUUUUGACUAUACAAAGGUAUUGAAAUAAGAUUUUAAUUGAAUGCUAAGAGAAUGGAAGUCCAGAAAAAAACUUUUUUUAAAUUAAAAAUUGAAGUUUUUUUAAUUUGUGCAGAAACAAUUAUUUAUAUUAAAGACAAGAAGACCCUAUGAAUUUAUUAAAUUUUUAUUUAAUAUGUAAUUACUAUUAGAAAAAUUUUGGCUGGGGCGGCUAGAAAAUAUUAUGAACUUUUUAAAAAUAAAAUGAUCCAUUAUUAAUGAUUUUAUGUUAAAUACUCUAGGG
rnacentral:rRNA from 1 species